GCAGAGUAGCACAAAAAGCGUUAAGUGGCGCAUAACGGGAUGUUGAAUGCGCACGAAAAGGUAUAAACCUUGCGAUUUUUUGGCGCAUCCA
rnacentral:ncRNA from 1 species